CGCUCCUUCUCGCCAGACCCUGGGCCAGUCGCUGAGCGGUCGAGGGGGGUCGGCACGCCAAACUGUUGCUGCGCCGGCCGCAGACGGGGCCCAUGCCGCACGCAGCGCAGCUGUCUCGCGCCUGGCAGCGCAUUACCAGCGGCUGCCCACGAAGACUGUCCGAUUCUUGGGGAGGAGAGGCCUCAAGUGCGUCAGUGACACUAGUUCAA